GGCGGCCGCGGGUCCGCACCGCCCCGCACAGGCGGGGCAAGAGGCGGCCUGCUCCCGCCCAGGGCCGCCGGGGGAUCUGGCAGCCCCGCCGCACCCACGGCGGGUACGGGAGUGCGGGUAGCGGUAAGGGAGCGGCGGCCGGGGCUGCGCGUUUCCCUGCGUCUUGGGUUGCCGGUUCACGAAGAAAGCUGUACAGCAAUCUGUGGGUACACUGAGGUAACCUGAUGUAGGCAGGCCAGCCCCACAGGAAGAUGUUCACUGAGCGAGGGGAGCUGGGAAAGACCUUCAUGCAGAAAUACCUGAAAAGUGCAGAGAUCAGGUGCAGAACAAUAUAAAAACGUACAUGGAAACUGCUUUGACCAUCCACCUAGAGCCACGACAUACAGAAGAAUUUAUCAAAAUGCAGGUUUGUGGUCUGUAUCCACAUACGCAAAGCACAGGUGGAGGAGCAGCCUCUCAAAUAUCCAACUGUGCUGCUACUGAGCAAUGGCAGGGGUUAGAGUAUUUCUCUUGCUGUUUUACAUCCUAGACUUGGUAUGAGCAAGCACAGAUGUGUCUUUUGUGCAGGAAAGGAAAGGAAGAGAGAGCCAAAUGAAAAAUCCUGAAUGACAGCAUCUCCAAGUAUCACAGCAGUACCUUCUAAAGCUGGAAGAUAAAGCUGAUGAGGUGGUUACCAUGGCUACGGAAGCGGCAUAUUUGAAUGAAAAUUGAUUUUAAGCUUUUAAAUGCUAAUUGCAUCUGUGAACAGGUGACAUUUGAAAUAUCUUUUUCUUUUUUUUCCCCUCAUGUUUUGCAAUGUAUAAUGGGUGGAAGAAGAGGGUGACAGAGGUGACAGUAUAGAGGUAAAUUAAAACACUGAUACGGUCUUCAUCACUGAAGUAUAUCACACCAUUUACUUGUAUAGUAAUAACAGUAAUAAGCAAACAUGUAUACAGAACACAGUGCCUGAGGGGCAGAAACUGUGUGUAUAACCCAAGUAGUAUACUUUUGAUGACUAUAUUGUGAAAAAUUAAACAGCCUUAUUUAAAUUAAUCACCUCAACAACUGUUUCCAGUAGCAAUUAAUAAAGAGGCUAUUAAAACUUUGCAUUCAGAAACUACCGUAAAUUCUCAGUGAUGAGGAAAUUUCACAAAUGCCUGAAAUUAGAAGCAUUUCUUAUUUUCACUCCAUACAUCAGGAAAUAAAAUUGAACUUCUACACAGUGGUAGACUCGCGCUAGAGAACAAAGGGGAUGUGUAGACCAGUAUCACUAGGUAACUGCUGCAAAUUGCUGUCACACCACUGUCUGACCACACUUAGGCCUUUAGUUGUAGAAGACGUAGAAGGUGUAAUUUACCUAACUGUAAGCAUGGUUUUAAAUAUGAUCUCAAAGCUUUGUAACUUAUAUGGGUUAAAUUCCCCUUGUUAGCACUUGCUUUUUGAAACACUCCUGAUAUGAUUACUGUGUAAGAUAUGAUCAUUUGUAAUGCAAAUUUAUAUUUUGUUACAAAAAGAUAUCUUUGGGAAGUUUUGGAUUACUUUCGGCUUUUUGUUCUUUUUGGUUUUUAAUAUACAGCAUGAGAAAUCUA